AGACCCGAAACCCGGUGAUCUAGCCAUGGGCAGGUUGAAGGUUGGGUAACACUAACUGGAGGACCGAACCGACUAAUGUUGAAAAAUUAGCGGAUGACCUGUGGCUGGGGGUGAAAGGCCAAUCAAACCGGGAGAUAGCUGGUUCUCCCCGAAAGCUAUUUAGGUAGCGCCUCGUGAAUUCAUCUCCGGGGGUAGAGCACUGUUUCGGCUAGGGGGCCAUCCCGGCUUACCAACCCGAUGCAAACUGCGAAUACCGGAGAAUGUUAUCACGGGAGACACACGGCGGGUGCUAACGUCCGUCGUGAAGAGGGAAACAACCCAGACCGCCAGCUAAGGUCCCAAAGUCAUGGUUAAGUGGGAAACGAUGUGGGAAGGCCCAGACAGCCAGGAUGUUGGCUUAGAAGCAGCCAUCAUUUAAAGAAAGCGUAAUAGCUCACUGGUCGAGUCGGCCUGCGCGGAA
rnacentral:rRNA from 1 species